GGAACGCUGAAAAUAUACAUUUGACAUUCCCUCAAUUAAGACUUUAUGCUUAAAAUCAGCGUUGCACAUCAUAAAAUAGCACAUAAAUUAGCAAGCCGGAGUAAUGCCAAACAUCCAUCAUACCUUUUAACCCCCUUUUUUUUUCUUUUUUUUUUUUUAAUCGUUAAAUAAAUACCACAGUCCACCAAAGACUGGAAAUCUGUUUUAUAACCUACCAAAGGCAACCUCUACCAAAGAGGGAUCUAGGGACGUCUCCCAUAUGUAAGUGUACAUCACAGGUACAUCACAGCCUACCAAAGGCUUGAAAUUAUUUUUAACACCUGGCCAAAGGUGAACCUCUUACCAAAGAGGAAAUGUGCACAAUAACUA